CACGUAGGGGGCAAGCGUUGUCCGGAUUUAUUGGGCGUAAAGAGCUCGUAGGUGGCUAAGUAAGUCGGAUGUUAAAUCCCCAGGCUCAACCUGGGACACCACCCGAUACUGGCUUUGGCUAGAGUCCGGUAGGGGAGCAUGGAAUUCCUGGUGGUAGCGGUGAAAUGCGCAGAUAUCAGGAGGAACACCAGCGGCGAAGGCGGCUCUCGUGGGACGGUACUGACGCUGAGACGCGA
rnacentral:rRNA from 1 species